GCCAAGAGUAAUCACAGGCUAUUGUUUGUUUUUGGAGACUCACUCUUUGAUCCUGGAAAUAAUAUAUACCUGGAUCCUACCGAACACAUUCCUUCUUAUUUCUACCCUUAUGGAAUGAGCUUGAAAAAUCAUUCCACUGGGAGAUUUUCUGAUGGCCUUGUUGUUCCUGAUUAUAUAGGUAUAUUUCUACAGAACUCCUCUUCUUUCCCUCUUCUUUCAUAUUUUCUUCUCCUUUAGUAACAUAACAUGUUCUUGAUUUUUUUGCAGCUUUAUCUGCAAAGUUGCACAUAAU
rnacentral:misc_RNA from 1 species